AAAUAGUCCCUCCAGGGAGUUCUGGGUUCCUCUCUGGGUUCUGGUCCCGGUGGGACGGGCCCAGAAAACCUCCAGAUGGUUCUGAUCCGAAGUCUGAACCCCCUCAACUAAAUCUUUUCAAUAAAUGAAUCAUACAAGUAUAAAUAAUAUGUAAACAUUAAAAAUUAUUUAACCGAGAUUAAAUGCAAACAGGUAAAACAUAUAAUAAAAAUGAAAGAUCCAUAAAAUAUAAUAUUUUAACUGUUUUUCAGAACCAUAACUGUAAACAGGCCCUAUUCAUUUCAUGUAGCAUUAUUCUCUGGUUCCGGUUCAAUAAAGUUAACUGAAUCUCAUAGCAUAGAAUCAAGAGAAAAACUCUAAAUAUUUAUUGAAUCUGAACCUAAAUGCCAGAUAUUUACAGUCUAAUAGUUUUACAAAGACAAAUAAACCCUAAAAUAUUUUUCACACAGAAAAAAUAAAAGUACAGAGGAGCGUGGAACAAAAGGAAGAUCUAUUUUUGAAUAUGCAGACAUUACCGAGAAGAGGUCAAACCUCAGAGAGGAGGUGCCAGGGGAGUUGCACCUGUGGGCGAGCUGCGGAGGGAGAGAGGGAGUGCCGGCAGGUAGAACAGGUUUGGGCGAGGCGGUGCGCAGAGCUCCAGAUACGCAGCCAAGCAGAGAGCUGAGUCAGAUUUGUUGGUUCGCUCAGAUAAAACUGCCUUUUUCUGCUGCUGUGAAGAACCGAAUCAUCUCCAGGCAGGAGAAGAAGGAGGAGGAAGACUGAGGAAGAGGAAGGAGGUCAUCACAGAGGUCAGCGCCCUGAACAUCUCUGAUUGGCCCUUCCUCCAGUGACAUCAUCAGAAUGUCAUCAAAUAUCAACAUCUCCUUGGAAAAUCCGUACGGUCAGGUGACCAUCCCCAGGGCCAAGCUCCGCCAACCGGAUGACGCCACAGUGAUAGCCAAUCCCAUGGCUCUGAACAGCGAGAACCCGUACUCUCAGAAGGGGUCCGACCCCCCCCCCUACACGGUGAAGGAGGAUGGAGGCGAGGAGGAGGAGGGGCGGUGCCGAGCCUGUUGCUACCGCUGCCGCAGGAGGAAGUGACGUGCCAGGAGACGGUGAUUGGCUCAUCAGUAGAUCUCCCGCUUCAGAGCUAAUCACCUUUCUGAUUCUGUAAUCAGUCACCGCUGCAAAACCAGAACCACCAGAACAAGAACGUCCAAAGAGGCUCCAUCAGAACCACAUUUAUAGAGGAACCUGACAACGAAAUAACGAAUCAGAGACCAGGCAGGUCCCGUUCUGGAGACUCUGUAGAGCCGAAGGAGUUUCAGGAAGCGGGAAUCCUUCAAAGACUGCAAGGACUCUAGAGAUCCUGAAACGGUUAAAAACAAACUGUAGAUACUGGAUGACCCGAAAAAAUAUAAACCCAACAGAACCAAGGCCCUGAAAAUUCUGCAGACUUCAAGAACCGGGAAGAGCUACGGAUGUAAAAACUGGACUCAGAGGACCAAGAAACUCUGAUUAUUUGGUGUUUUUACUCCUGGUUUGCUUUAGAUUAUUAUUCCUGUUAAACCACCUGAAGCUUGAAAGCUUUGUGUUACGCCUUUAAUGCAGUUUAACAAAUUUUCCACCAGAUAAGAUCAAUUUUUGAUUUUUUUGUGUCAGAUCCCAUUUAACGAUUUUAUAUUUGUAUCUAAGUUCAGGAAAACUUUUGUUUAAUAUUUUAUGUCACAUAAUAGGAUGUUUCUACUUUGUUGUGAGGAAACAGCUUUAUUUUAAAAAAAGCAGCCUGUUUUUCACAUUCAUGAUAAAAACAUCCAUCUGUGGAUGACAGGGACAGUCAAAUAAACCAGCAGAGAUGCCUGUAGAACAAAGUGAUUUAGGCUUUAAUUAAAACUGUUUUUUAUUGUUGUUUCAGAGAUUUGUUGAUGUAGUCGCUGCUGGUUUUGGUGAGAUGUUUGCGUUUUAUUUCUGGAUUCAGAAAAAAGGUUUUCCAUGAAGUAUUUCUAUUUUCUGCACCGUGAUUUUCAACAUGAAGGAGUUUUUGAAUAAUAAAUCAUAGCGAGUCAUUGUAGAUGAAGAACAAAUAGACAGAGAAGUUGCAUGUUUUGUCUAUUCGUCUUAAUCAUUAUGCAAUUAAAAAUACCAAACCUGAUCUUCAACAUUGUGGCUUGCCUGUAAAUAUUAACUGCCUCCUAAGAACAACCUUCAGGCUGUAAAUACUAUUAAAUCCUAUUUAAUGUUUUAGAUUUAACUUUAAUUAAAUGGGUGAGACGCUGGGUAAACCAUGGACAGAUGUAUUUAUGUGAUUAUGAAAAAAAAAAA